AUCAAAAUUUUGCUUUAUUUAUUAUUUUAUCACGUUAAUUAUAAUUAAUAAAAUAAAAUGAUUUAAGUAAACCAUAGAAUCUAAACUUUUAUGGUUUGAAUAUUAGUAUAAAUAAAAGUUGGAUUCAGGAGAGACCGAAGAGAGAAGAGAUGCUAGAUGAUGAGUCGAAUGAGGAGGAAGGGGGAGGAGUAAAUGAGGAGUAAGAGAGGAGUCAGAGAAGCAAGAGGAACAUGACCUAUAUUAUUAUAUCUUCUAGUCAUACCAACCAAUUCAAUUAAUACGUUAAAUUCACUUGGCACCAAUUUAUACCGACAAUUUAAGAUCUAUCAACUACUUACAUUUCCAUUUAUAAAAAAAAAUAAUGAUAAAAAAUAAAAUAAAUGUUAAAUUCUGGUCACAAAGGAAUAUAAGUAUGCAUGGAACUUUGUACAAAAAAACUUUUUAAAUUUAUUCAUCACGCUCGUAGCGCUGAAACGAUUUAAAGCGAAAAAAAAAAAAAUUUGAAAAAGAAAAAUUUAAUAAACCGUACAAAAGUUUCAAGUUGGCUGUUUGAGAAUACGAUUUUGUGUUAAUAUACCUGAGAAAAUCUGUGUAUAAAUUUAGUAGCAAGGAUAGUAAAUUUGUAAGCUGUUUUAUUAUUUUUUUUUGUCCAUGCUCGGAAAUUUCAGUUUUUAAUUAUAAUUACAUUUCUUUCGAUGUGAGAUUGCUUUUAAAGUUAAAUGAAUUUGUCAGUAAAGAUUAUCAGAGACGAUAUUGAUAAAAAAAAUUAAAUGUCA